rnacentral:rRNA from 2 species
ACGGGAGGCAGCAGUAGGGAAUUUUCGGCAAUGGGGGGAACCCUGACCGAGCAACGCCGCGUGAUCGAAGAAGUAUUUCGGUAUGUAAAGAUCUUUUAUUUGGGACGAAAAAACAAAUUGACGGUACCAAAUGAAUAAGCCCCGGCUAACUAUGUGCCAGCAGCCGCGGUAAUACAUAGGGGGCGAGCGUUAUCCGGAAUUAUUGGGCGUAAAGGGUGCGUAGGUGGCAAUGAAAGUCUUUGGUUAAAAUGCUAGGCUCAACCUAGUAGUGCUAAAGAAACUUCAUAGCUAGAGUAUGGUAGAGGUGAGUGGAACUCCAUGUGUAGCGGUAAAAUGCGUAAAUAUAUGGAAGAACACCAGUGGCGAAGGCGGCUCACUAGACCGAGACUGACACUGAGGCACGAAAGCGUGGGGAGCAAACAGGAUUAGAUACCCUGGUA